rnacentral:rRNA from 1 species
AUGGCUCAGAACGGGGCCGCUGCCGUUGGCCACGGAGAAGGCCUCCAACUACGGGAGACUUGGUCGAGGUGCGUCACGGAGGGCGCGACACAUGAUUUCGAGGUGACCAACUACCCUCUGCUUGAGGGCAUGGGCACGUACAUCACCUCAAGCACGUUCAGGGUCGGCGGCUACGAUUGGAAUAUCAGGUUCUACCCGGACGGACACACCAAGGACUCUGAAAAAGCGUUAGUAUUCUUGUUUUGUCUCAGCUCAUUGACGAAGGAUGUGAGGGCAAAGCUCACCAUAACCUUGCUGGAUAAGGGAGGGAAAGUGGAAUUGCUGACCACCCCGGACGCGGUGGAGAGAAUCUUUUCUCCGGAAAAGGUUUACUUUGGUGUUUUCGUCGAGAAAUCGAAGCUGAAAUCGUGCCCUCGCCUCCUGACAAUAAGGUGCGUUCUCAUCGUGAUCAAAGAACCACCCCCGGAGGAGUGCCCAAGGAAUCUCGUCGUGGUUCCUCCGCCGGAGCUGUCCGGCCGCCUCGAGCGCACCCGUAAAGACGGGAAGGGCACCGACGUCACGUUCCUCGUGGGUGGCAGGGAGUUCAGCGCGCAUACGUUCAUGCUGGCUGCGCAAUCGCCGAUUUUCGAUGCUCAGUUCUUUGGCCCGAUGGCGGAUAAGGACACGCGGUGCAUAGAGGUUCCCGACAUGGAGCCUGCCAUCUUCGAGAUGCUUCUUCACUUCAUCUACACGGAUUCGCUGCCCCCAUGUAACGAGGAAGGUUACGAUGCUGCUACCAUGCAGCACUUGCUAGUCGCAGCACACCGGUAUAGGCUGGACAGGCUUAAGGUGAUGUGUGAGGAGAAGCUAUCCAAAAGCAUCAACGUGCAGACCGUUACAAGUACAUUGGCAGUUGCAGAUCAGCACUUCUGCGAGGGGCUCAAAGAUGCUUGUGUGGAGUUUCUUUCUGAGCCGAGAAUAGCGGCAAUUGUCUGGUUAAGAAACGGGUUCACACGCUGCAUGGCAAAGCUGGAAUCGGGGGACAAGGAGGUAUCUGCCGCGGGGACGAAGUAA